rnacentral:rRNA from 1 species
AUUGAACGCUGGCGGCAUGCCUUACACAUGCAAGUCGAACGGCAGCACGGGAGCAAUCCUGGUGGCGAGUGGCGAACGGGUGAGUAAAGUAUCGGAACGUGCCCAGUCGUGGGGGAUAACGUAGCUGAAGUUACGCUAAUACCGCAUACGAUCUAUGGAAGAAAGCGGGGGAGCGCAAGACCUCGCGCGAUUGGAGCGGCGUAUAUCAGAUUAGGUAGUUGGUGGGGUAACGGCUCACCAACCCGACGAUCUGUAGCUGGUCUGAGAGGACGACCAGCCACACUGGGACUGAGACACGGCCCAGACUCCUACGGGAGGCAGCAGUGGGGAAUUUUGGACAAUGGGCGAAAGCCUGAUCCAGCCAUGCCGCGUGCAGGAUGAAGGCCUUCGGGUUGUAAACUGCUUUUGUACGGAACGAAAAGGUUUGGCCUAAUAAGCUGAGCUCAUGACGGUACCGUAAGAAUAAGCACCGGCUAACUACGUGCCAGCAGCCGCCGUAA